UAAUACGGAGGAUCCAAGCGUUAUCCGGAAUCAUUGGGUUUAAAGGGUCCGUAGGUGGAUAAUUAAGUCAGAGGUGAAAUCUUGCAGCUCAACUGUAAAAUUGCCUUUGAUACUGGUUAUCUUGAGUUAUUAUGAAGUAGUUAGAAUAUGUAGUGUAGCGGUGAAAUGCAUAGAUAUUACAUAGAAUACCAAUUGCGAAGGCAGAUUACUAAUAAUCAACUGACACUGAUGGACGAAAGCGUGGGUAGCGAACAGGAUUAGAUACCCUGGUAGUCCACGCCGUAAACGAUGGUUACUAGCUGUUUGGACCUUGUGUCUGAGUGGCUAAGCGAAAGUGAAAGUAACCCACCUGGGGAGUACGUUCGCAAGAAUG
rnacentral:rRNA from 1 species